rnacentral:rRNA from 1 species
UACGUAGGGUCCGAGCGUUGUCCGGAAUUAUUGGGCGUAAAGGGCUCGUAGGCGGUCUGUUGCGUCGGGAGUGAAAACUUACAGCUUAACUGUGAGCGUGCUUUCGAUACGGGCAGACUUGAGGCAUUCAGGGGAGAACGGAAUUCCUGGUGUAGCGGUGAAAUGCGCAGAUAUCAGGAGGAACACCGGUGGCGAAGGCGGUUCUCUGGGACGGUACUGACGCUGAGACGCGAAAGCGUGGGGAGCGAACAGG